AUUGAACGCUGGCGGCAUGCCUUACACAUGCAAGUCGAACGGCAGCACGGGUGCUUGCACCUGGUGGCGAGUGGCGAACGGGUGAGUAAUACAUCGGAACAUGUCCUGUAGUGGGGGAUAGCCCGGCGAAAGCCGGAUUAAUACCGCAUACGAUCUACGGAUGAAAGCGGGGGACCUUCGGGCCUCGCGCUAUAGGGUUGGCCGAUGGCUGAUUAGCUAGUUGGUGGGGUAAAGGCCUACCAAGGCGACGAUCAGUAGAUGGUCUGAGAGGACGACCAGCCACACUGGGACUGAGACACGGCCCAGACUCCUACGGGAGGCAGCAGUGGGGAAUUUUGGACAGUGGGCGAAAGCCUGAUCCAGCAAUGCCGCGUGUGUGAAGAAGGCCUUCGGGUUGUAAAGCACUUUUGUCCGGAAAGAAAUCCUUGGCUCUAAUACAGUCGGGGGAUGACGGUACCGGAAGAAUAAGCACCGGCUAACUACGUG
rnacentral:rRNA from 1 species